UGCAAGUCGAGCGCACCUUCGGGUGAGCGGCGGACGGGUUAGUAACGCGUGGGAACAUACCCUUUGGUACGGAAUAGCCUCUGGAAACGGAGAGUAAUACCGUAUGAGCCCUUCGGGGGAAAGAUUUAUCGCCAAAGGAUUGGCCCGCGUUAGAUUAGGUAGUUGGUGGGGUAAUGGCCUACCAAGCCUACGAUCUAUAGCUGGUUUUAGAGGAUGAUCAGCAACACUGGGACUGAGACACGGCCCAGACUCCUACGGGAGGCAGCAGUGGGGAAUCUUGGACAAUGGGGGCAACCCUGAUCCAGCCAUGCCGCGUGAGUGAUGAAGGCCUUAGGGUCGUAAAGCUCUUUCGCCUGUGAAGAUAAUGACGGUAGCAGGUAAAGAAACCCCGGCUAACUCCGUGCCAGCAGCCGCGGUAAUACGGAGGGGGUUAGCGUUGUUCGGAAUUACUGGGCGUAAAGCGCACGUAGGCGGACUGGAAAGUUGGGGGUGAAAUCCCAGGGCUCAACCCUGGAACUGCCUCCAAAACUAUCAGUCUAGAGUUCGAGAGAGGUGAGUGGAAUUCCGAGUGUAGAGGUGAAAUUCGUAGAUAUUCGGAGGAACACCAGUGGCGAAGGCGGCUCACUGGCUCGAUACUGACGCUGAGGUGCGAAAGUGUGGGGAGCAAACAGGAUUAGAUACCCUGGUAGUCCACACCGUAAACGAUGAAUGCCAGUCGUCGGGUAGCAUGCUAUUCGGUGACACACCUAACGGAUUAAGCAUUCCGCCUGGGGAGUACGGUCGCAAGAUUAAAACUCAAAGGAAUUGACGGGGGCCCGC
rnacentral:rRNA from 1 species